AUAAGUAAUAUAGUUAAUAUAUUUCUCAUAGUAUAAGUAAUAUAUUAUCAAAUGUAUAACUUAUAGAAAAUGUUAAAUCUUACAUUUAUAUUAGCCUAAUAUAGUAUGACUAUUAUUGAGUAUGAGUAUUAUUGAGGUUUUACUAAGUGACACUGCUAUAUAUAAACUUUAUAUAUCAUUUAUAAAUGCCUAAUAAUUAGGCAUUUAUAAAUGAUAUAUAAAGUUUAUAUAUAGCAGUGUCACUUAGUAAAACCUUCUAUAAUAGUCAUACUAUCACUUUACAAAACAUAGUAAUACUAUGUUUUGUAAAGUGAUAAUAUUUAUAAUUUGAGUUAUAUUAUAAAUAUUAUAACUUUAAUUUUAAUUUGCAGUAUAAGGUUUUAUAUGAAAAAAUAUUUAUAUAAUUUAUAUUGUGAAUUACUUGUAAAUAAUAAUAACUAAUAAUAAAAAUGAUAAACUGCCCAGUUAACCACAACUGGGUCCCAGCUGGAAUGUAACUAGAUUAUUGGAACUGAGUUAUGGCUGGGAUUUGAAGAUGGGUCCCAAAUGGUGCAAUGUCAAUGUUUGUUUUAUAACAGACUUGUAAAAUGUUUUGUCAAACUGAAGACAUAUAUUUUUUUUUUUUUGCAAUAGACAAUUGUUGAAAAUUUUUUAAAUUAGUUUUUAUGAUUUGGUAUGCUAACAGUUAUGGCUUAGUCACUAAGUUACAAAAAUGAAAUACACUAAGUUAGUGUGUUUCAUUUUAAAUUAUCUUUUUCAAGCAAAUCUCAAUGACACUUUACAAAACAUGAUUCCCUGGAGGAUGUCUGUUAAAAAGAAAAACUGAAGAAACUUUAAAACUAAAUGAUGCCAACUAAAGAAGUUCGAGGCUUAUCGAGGCAUAUCGAGGCUUCAGUUCUCCAGUAUUUAUUAUUAAAUUUUAUUAUAUAUGUUAUGAUUAUUUUAUUUUUUAUAUUGUUAUUUUUGUAACAACAAACUAUGUGAAUAAUUAAUUGUCCUGCCCUGGGCCUCUACUUUAAUCUGACUAUUAUUAUAACACAUAUAUCGAUUUAUAUAUUGUAUUGAGUUAGCUUGUGAUUUGUACGUGUGUUUUUGUUUGCCUAGUGUUUGUUAGUUAUAUGCAAGAUAUGGCAUGGUAUGGCACGCUGCAUGGUAUGCCCUAAAUAAUAUUAUCAAUAAAUAUUUUUAUCUAUACUUUGUAAAUAUAUAUGCUAUACUUUAUUAUAUUA
rnacentral:lncRNA from 1 species